AAUUCAAUUCUAUUGGGGAAUAAUUUCAUUCCUUUUUCGUUAUAUUAUCUACCACUCAGAAUGUUAUUCGUUGAUGUAUUUAGAUGGACAUUCACGAGUAUUUCAUGAGAAUUUCCAACUCAACAUUUUACAUCAAAGUUCAUCAUCUUGGCUUUUUCUUUUUUUACUCAGUCUUUUGUUUUCUUCUUCCUUACAGACAAUGAACCUCAUGGAACAUGAUGCUGAACAUUAACUGAAGAAAAUGUUGAAUUAUCCCAUGACUUGGAAUUGGAUCAUGUUCAUAUUAUAUUAUGUAUAUAGAAAAAAGAAUAGGAAACUUAUAUCUUUGGCUCGAUGACGAUUUUGAUUGUGAACUUUUUUUUCCAAUGAAAAAAUUUAUUCUUUUCUUUCAGAUUUUUUUUGUUCUGUUUAUAUACCAAAAGGGUGGAAAUUGUAUCCACAGGGAGGAAGAUGAGAGGAAGAGGGAGGGUCGGAGGAUGAACAUGAUGAAUAUCAACCGGAAACAAUGAAUAGAAAACACCAUUGGACAAAAUCCGCCAUCACUCAUGUUCAUGUUAAUCUGUCAUAUCAAUUGUUACUUGAGAUGAUGAAACUUCAGAACUCUCAGAAUCAUCAUGUACAUUUUAUACUCUAUCUCUCUCUCUCUCUCUCUCUUGAAUGAAGAAAAAGUUUCACCACAGUUUCUCAUUCUCAUGAUAUAAUUUCCGGUUCAUGGGAAGUAAAAAGUCACCGAACAACAAGAAGAAAAAAUAAUAUUCGACAAAUGGAACAAAAUUAAGAGAGAAAAACAAACAAAGAUCUUUAACCAGGAAAACCGAAAUUAAUCUCGAAAAAAUUAUAUAUAAUUAAAGUUAAUUAUCUUCUGUACAUAAGAAAGGAACAACAAUGAACAUGAUGAGAAUUCAUGGAACCAUUGAUAAUACAAAGAUUGACCAUUACGAUGACCUCCAAAGAGAAGCUGAUUUCUGACAGUUAAUCAUAAUGGAAAUGUUUCUCAAUUAAAAUGGAUGGACAAUGAAAACCAGGAGACCGAUGAAAAUUUCCAACGAUAAAUCCAAGUGAAUUUCUUGAAACUGAAUAACUGGCAUAAUUAUAUAUUCGUCAUCAUCAUUAUCAUACCAUGAUCUUGAUUGUUUCAUGUAAUCGUCAACCUCUGAAUAGUUUCAAUGGCAAAGGUCAAUGAGUUUUCCAGAUGAUGAAACAUUUUCCAUAGAGAAAACUGAUAAGUUGUUUUCUUCAUAAUCUUCAAUCAACAAUCAACCUUGGAAACAUGAUAAUUAACGUUAAUUGUUACACAAUCAACAACCAAUCAAAGGAUUUUCAUGGUUCCAGGUUCAUGGUUACUGAUUUUAAUGCUCAGUCAACUGAUAUUUGAAUCAUUUUAUCACAUGGAAACUGUUAUUGUUUAUCAACCAUUAUCAUCGAAAAUGUUCAAAAAAGUGUUACAAUUAAUCAACAUAAUCAACACGCUAAUUACAAUCAAGUUUUUACACCGAAAGAGGAACAAAAAAUCAACGAUGGAAACGGAAAAGGAGAGAUAAUAAUCAUCAAAGAAUCGAAGAUUUGUAUCUCUAUUUACCUUUCAUUGUUAAUCUUUAUCAACACGAAAUGAACAAUUUAUGUUCACAAAUCAAAAUCAUCAUAAUUCUGAUUGUUAAUCAUUAAUUCAGGUGAAAAAAUGAUCAACAUAUUAUAUAAUAGUUUUUACCUGUUAUCUUGAUACCUGUGGAUAAAUAAUUUGAAUACUGAAAUGAUUGAAAUUCACAUUGAUCAUGAAAGACAAUAAAUUGUCAAUGUAUUUAAAUGAAUCGCCGCAGGGUUCAAAUUGAUUGUUUACUCAUUUUCUGUUAAUCAUCAUGAUGAAAUAUGAAUUUGAUUGAUUCUCAAUGAGAGAAAGAGCAAAAAAAUUGAAAUGACAACCUCAAAUUGUCAUUGGCAAAGAAAAAGGAAAUUAACAAUUGACAAUCAAUGGAACAAUUUAAUAACAACAAUCUGCUAUUCUAAUAAUAAUAUUGCCACUUUUCACUUGAUUGUGACAAUUUAUAAAUUGUCAAUGUUAUUAUUAGAUUGACAAUUUUUGAUUCGCUUGAUAAUAAGAGAGAAGCAAAUUAAUCAAUCUAAAUACACUUAAUCAUUUAGUUUAAUUGCUAUUUUAAUAUUACAAAAAUUAAAUCUCAAAGGUGUAAGAAAAUUCAUUAAAAUGAUUAACUUACUUUCAGCUAAUUGUUAAUUAACUAAAUACAAGUAUUAAACAUGGAAGAUGAUUAAUUGAUUGUGAAUAUUGUCUCAACCUCUCUGUUUUUAAUUAAAUGGUUUUUUUGUGAGACAUUUUCUUAAUUUGAUUAUCUUGAUGAUUUAAGAAAACGGAAAUUAAAUUGUAUCAACAAUCAGUCUCAUCAUUGCUUAAUAACAUCUUGACCUCGAUACCUUUGGUCAAUUGCUUAUCCUUUUCUUAAUUGUAAUCUUUUCUUGCCCUCAGGCAAUUAUAUCCUUUCUUAUUAAAAGUAACACCAAUUGAUUUGUUGUAACAAAAUUUAAUCAAAUCAUUUGAUAUUUACUAUUGAUUGUCUAUUGAUAAUUAGGAAAACCUCAUGUUCAUGAUGAUUAUGAGCUCUGAAUUCAGAAUUUGUCAAUUGAUAAUUAUUGGUAAUUCUGAUGGUUAUGGAGGAAAAGUUUUCUCAUAAUUUAAUUGUACUGAUUGAGAAUAAGAUUGAUUUAAAUUGUUUCAAUUUUGUUGAUCAAGAAAAUUGAUUCCUUCAAGUAAUUAGCAUUCAAUCAACUCAGGUAAUCAGAUUAAUUGUUAGUUGACUUUUAUUUGCUUCUGUUUUUCAUCUUGUUGAUUGUUAAUAAUUUAAUUUGAUGGAAAUCAUUUUAAAUUGUUACAAAAUGAGUUGAGAAAAUUAUCUCUCUGAUAUUACCAUUAAAUUAGAUUAAAUUUUAAUCAAUUGAUUGAU